rnacentral:rRNA from 1 species
UACAGAGGUCUCAAGCGUUGUUCGGAUUCAUUGGGCGUAAAGGGUGCGUAGGUGGCGCGCUAAGUCAGGUGUGAAAUUUCGGAGCUUAACUCCGAAACUGCAUUUGAUACUGGUGUGCUUGAGGACUGGAGAGGAGACUGGAAUUCAUGGUGUAGCAGUGAAAUGCGUAGAGAUCAUGAGGAACACCAGUGGCGAAGGCGGCUCACUGGCCCGAUACUGACGCUGAGGCACGAAAGCGUGGGGAGCAAACAGG